CCGCUACAUGUGGAAUCCGGUCGUUGCUUGUCGGUUGUCGGUCGUUUAAAAUUUAGUGAUGUUGACACUGUUGAUGUUCAUGAAUCAGAAAUAAAUUUAUUAUUAAUUGAUUAAUGUUUUCGUGCUGGUGUGUAUAGUGCUUACUAUACCUUAUUCAGUAACAUAUUUAAAUAUAACAAAUACCAGCUCAACCAGUGAUUUGUGUCUUCAGUGUCCAGUCCACUUCAGGCCUUCAUGUUUACCUUCACGUUUCCCACAACCCUACAUUGCUGGAUUUUCUUAUUAAACUUUGAACUAGUGAUUCAAAAUACGAAUUAUAUCUUAAUUGAUCAGUUAGCAACUAAGUUCUGAUUAAACACUUUUGCAAUUCACAUUAAUAUUCAGAGUUAAAUGAAUCAACAAAUGCCCUCCAAUUCUCAUCUUCCAACUGACAUUGUCGCUGGAUUGAGACUAACCAUGAUAAAAACCGGUGUUUUCUAUUGUGAAAGCACUGUUCGACACAUGAGAUGAGAAUAGUGUUGCACAGUAAUAAAACUAAUUUCGCAAAUGCAUAAGAGAAUUUUGACAAUACAUAAGAAGAUGGACACUGGACUGAGACCGGGAAAAACAGGAAGCAUCACAGAAAUUUGACAACACCAAGCAACAAGCCAUUUGUAAAUUUCAAAGGCCAUCAAUAUGGAGUGGACCAAAUAGAAAGCUGGAGCAUCUACCACCUCCUAUGCUCUGACCUCUGCUACUCCAGACGCCAGAGCAAGGGUGAUGAAGGAAGCUUCAUGACCAAAAUGACAUCUGAGCAAGAAGCAACCUCUAGUAGAGGAGGAGCCUGCCUGCUUCCUUGUUAAAAAGGCGGCAAACCAACAAGCCGGACAGCAGCCAGAAUCCUACCCAAAGGCUUUCAAGAUAUUGAUGAUGUGAUAAAACGUGGGACAGAUGAGUUGGUCCGAACUACCCAGCUCUACAUGGAUAGAAAACCUACAACUAGUAUUUCAACUCGGCAUCAACUAGUUGCUCUAAUCUCGUAUACUUCUAAGUGGAUACUUAUCUUCUGAUAUUUCAAUAAAAAGGUCAGGUGCAUUUGAGUGUAGAAAAACUUGGAGAAGAAAGGGCUGUUUUAUUUCUGCUGUUGUCUUUGAUCACGUAUGCAUGUCUUCACUACAACUCGUCAGUCAUGGAAAGUGCUAUUCCACUAGAGGAGACUGCAGUCUGUUUCACAUAGCAUGAAAUGUUCAGGGAUACCACCUCUAGCCUAUCAACAUCAUCGUCAUCAUCAACAUCAUCGUCAUCACCAACAUCAUCGUCAUCAUACGACUUUUACAGUGCUGUAAACGGGCGGGGGCAUCUUCACAGUGCUGACAAAAUUUGCAGCAAAUAGCUGCACAUGUGGCCUUGGCCUUAUAAUAAACUGAAUUAUUAUUUUGAUGGAAUGAAUCUUUAUUUUGAUUUUUUAUACACAUUAAAUCCUCCAUAUAGAAUUUAGUUUUUUAAAAAUUAGUCUAAAUACAAAAUGAAUCAUAAUAAAAACUAUUGAAGGUUGCAAUGUCAACAGGUUCUGAUCUAUUCUGAAAGUUUCAAGUCUCUAGCUCGUUAGGAAGUGGAUGAAAAUUAAUUGACAAAAUUCCAACCUGACCAACAACCCCCAAAGCAAGUUGAAUAAAACGCUGUUAGAAAAAAAAUGAGAAUAAUUGUGGGCUAUCGAUAGAACUAAAAAAAAACUUGAUGAGUUGAGAAUGUCUCAUUAUACAUUGUACUUUCACUCAUUUUAUUCAAAAAGUUUACUGUAGAAAAGUUCUGUUUGACUGUUCUGAUCAAAUUUUAUAAUCAGUAAAAUAAAUAUCCAAUGUUCACUAUCUAAUGUUGAGUAAUUAAAGUAGAGGAUAAAAUAGCGACAAUGGAAUUGCUGAAGGACUCUUUUUAAUUCCAUCUUAAAAGUGAGUAGUUUCCACUAAAAAUCUCUUAUGGCAUCCUUUUGGGUACCAGAAUAUAGAACUAGAGUAGUCUGCCAUCUGCCAUCUCAAUUUAUAAGCAUGAAUGAAUAAUCUUUCCUCUUUAUUCCUUAUAACAAUGAAUGAUAUUGAUUGAUCUGAUAAAGUAGGACUCCAAUUAUCACUAAUUAAGAUUGGACACCAUCAAAUAAAUGAAAAAAAAUUCAAUUUUAUUCCAUAUUCAUUUAAUUAUCAAAAUUAUGAAUAAUAAUAAUAGCCUACAUUAUAAAGUUACAAUAUUAAGCCACGGGAUGACCCAAAACGGCUUACAUAGUGAAAUAAAAUUCUUAUUAUAGAAAUCAGUUCAAGCUUGAUAGAAAAAAACAAUUGAAUUUAAAUAAACAUUUCACUAAUAAAUUAAUUCAUUUGAAAUCAAAACAUUAGAUCUCCAGACUCAACUUUCAGCGGACAAUGGAUCUUAGUUUUUUUAAAAUUUCAGCUCUAAUUUAUAUCAGAAUCAAAAAAAUCUAAAUACUGACUGAUGUCAGUCACAAUAAAAUUUGUAGUCACCAAAAAGUUUUUAGUCACCAAAAAUUGUAUAUACUUUUUUAGAACAACAAAAAAAGAGGUUGGUUUUGUAUAAUUUUGUGGUGGUGAAAAACAAAACAAUACAAUAGAGUCUAUAUUAGCCUAUAUAAGGCUACAUUGAUAUCAAAAAUCAUAAAUUGCAAGUCCUGACAGGAGAAGAGGAAAAAAGCCACGUGCUGGUAGCAUAUUACAAUACAUGCAUUAAUAACUAUAACUAUAGGUGAUGGCAAUGCUAACUAUAUAAUCAUAUUCAAUAGUUAAUUCAUGGAAAAUUUAAAACAAACAAUUGUAUAGAACAUACAAUCAUAUUACAUACGGUAGUGAAUUCAUAGAACAUUUCAUAUAAACCAUAUUAAAGUAUAUAAAAAGAGUUUCUUAUUCCACAUGAUCAAUUAUAGAUGAAAUGAAAUGAGAAAAACCAUUCCAUGAACGUGGAAAAUCAAAACCAAAUGUAUUAUAUAAUGUAUCAAGUGUACAUGUUCAAAUUCAUCAUCAAAUUAGUUCAAAUAGAAAAGCUUCAAAUUCCUUAUGUAGUUGUUUCUGGACAAGUAGGGAUUUUAGUUCACUUCACAAAAGUAAUAAUCAUGAUCUUAAUGCUAACUAUUAUAUAAUCAUAUUCAAUAGUUUAGUUUAUUCAUAGACAAAAUAAGAAGUAUUUUAUACUAUAUAACCAGAGUUCCUUAUCUUACAUGAUCAAUUAUACUCGAAAUAAAACAAAAAUUACAUUCCAUGAACGUGGAAAAUAAUUCAAAACCAAAUGUAUUAUAAAAUGUACUGAGAGUACAUGUUCAAAUUCAUCAUCAAAUUAGUUCAAAUAAAAAAAAGCUUCAAAUUCCUUAUGUAAGAAUUCCUAGACAAGUUGGGAUUUUAGUUCACUUCACAAAAGUAAUAAUCAUAAUCUUAAUGCUAACUAUUAUAUAAUCAUAUUCAAUAGUUUAGUUUAUUCAUAGACAAAAUAACAAGUAUUUUUUACUAUAUAACCAGAGUUCCUUAUCUCACAUGUAUAAUUAUACUCAAAAUAAAACAUUCUCAAUUAUACUCGAAAUAAAACAAAAAUUCUAUUCCACAAACGUGGAAAAUAAUUCAAAACCAAAUGUAUUAUAAAAUGUACUGAGAGUACAUGUUCAAAUUCAUCUUCAAAUUGGUUCAAAUAAAAAAGCUUCAAAUUCCUUAUGUAAGAAUUUCUAGACAAGUUGGGAUUUUAGUUCACUUCACAAAAGUAAUAAUCAUAAUCUUAAUGUUAACUGUACAAUCAUAUUCAAUAGUUUAGUUUAUUUGUAGACAAAAUAAGAAAUAUUUCAUACUAUAUAACCAGAGUUCCUUAUCUCACAUGAUCAAUUAUACUCGAAAUAAAACAAAAAUUCAAUUCCAUGAAUGUGGAAAAUAAUCCAAAACCAAAUGUUUUAUAGAAUGUACUAAGAGUACAUGUUCAAAUUCAUCAUCAAAUUAGUUCAAAUAAAAAAGCUUCACAUUCCUUAUGUAAGAAUUUCUAGACAAGUUGGAAUUUUAGUUCACUUCACAAAAGUAAUAAUCAUAAUCUUAAUGCUAACUGUACAAUCAUAUUCAAUAGUUUAGUUUAUUUGUAGACAAAAUAAGAAGUAUUUUAUACUAUAUAACCAGAGUUCCUUAUUUCAUGUGAUCAAUUAUAUAUGAAAUAGAAUGAGAGAAACCAUUCCAUGAACAUGGAAAAUAAUACAAAAUCAAAUUUAUUAUGGAGUUUUAAUAGCAAAAAAGGUUUAGGCCUAUCAUGUAUUUUAUUUCGACAUCACGUGCAUAAACGUUGCUAAAAAUAUUUAGAUAUUGUUUUAGAAUAAGUUUGAAGUUGAGUUUAAGCUUUAAAAACUACAACAUUCAUAGUUAGGUUCUUCACAAGUUGAAACAGUAUAAAGGGAAAACUGUUUUUUAAUAAUAGAAUUUCUUUGAAGGAAAUUGAAGCAAUUGGGAGGAGUUUGAAGCUCUCUUAUUUGUGGGAAUUUGAUGAAAAAAUUGAUAAUGUAUGCACAGAUUAAGGUAUUAAUUGCAUUUCAACGCAGUUUAUUAAACAUGUUUUUCACAUGAUAUUUAAUGUUAGACCAUGACCUAUUGCUCAAACAAGCUUCUUUUUCCAAACACCGGUCACAUUCUUCUUUGUUUGGAACCUUUUUCAUGAUUAUAUGUUUUUGAAAGUGUCUUACUACAGCAUCGGUUUCUUCUUGGGACCACAUCUUUCUUACAACAGUAACUCUACGUUUCUUCACUCUAGUGUUGGCUCUACCAGAAGCAACGGUAGACUGUCCAUCAUGAGGCCUUUCACUUUUAUUUUCUGGGGAUGAAGUGUUUGAGUCAGCUUCAUAAGUUUGAGAUGUCAAAGGUUGAUCUUCAUUUAUCUCAACACUUCUUGUCCCCUCAUCUUCAUGAUCACUAGCAUCUGACUCUGUUAAGCUAUCAUUGCCCAUGUCAACUUGAAGGUCAUCAAAGUUUUGUCCUUUCAUUUCUUUCAACUUACCUGAUUCUAAAGCUAGUAGUAACUUGCUUAUUUUGGCUACUUGGCCCACAUCGUCUGGGAGCCGGUAAUAUUCUUUGUGAACAUUGACAGAAUGACCCAUAAAUGUAGCCAAACACUCAAUCUCAUUUCCAGACAAAUUCAGAAGUUGAGACAUUGUUGCUACAUGUUUACGCAAUUUGGUGGACCUGAUCAGCUCUGGGUACUGCACACCAGACUGUUUAGCAAAAUGCCUUAGAACAUCACAACCUCGAAAACAACUGUUUUUGGUUCUUGGUAUGGCAAAAAAAUAUGGAUUUUCAAUACAGAUGUUUGCUAUGUCCCUUGUUGUCAUAAGCAGUUCCAUAUUUUUUCUCAUCCCUUCAGUUAAGAGAACAGGGACAGGGGCGCCUCUUUUGCCUCGACAUUGAAAUCUAGCCCAUGUCUUGCACAAUUUUUUUUCAGUUUCUGUUAACAGAGUGUCAAUGUCAGAAGUAGUCUUGGGGUUAUUUAUAGUUAGGUAAUGAGCAACCUCAAUUCUUUGGGCUUCGCCAGAUCUUCUCCUAUUCAGUAGAAUGAUGUGGGCUAAAGAUAUUUUUCCUAGUUCCCUCCAUACACUUUCAGAAGGAAGCUUUUUCAUUUGGUCAUACAAACUCUUUUCUUCUUUUAUUAUAAAAUCAUGAAGUUGUUUCAAAUCUUCAGCAAGGGGAAUUCUUGUGGGUUUAUUCCACUUUGCUGUACUCAAAGUUUUUGAUGCAUUGGAAGAUACAUCAUACUUCCACAUUUUGGGUAAAAGCUGAUGAAACCUCUUUCCUCUCUUUCGUAAAUAUUCGUUACUUGUUGUUGUACCCUUGAACUCAAUGAUUUCGGAGCAGCUCCUAAGGGAGUGCCCUAGUUUCAAGGCCAAUGAAGGCACUUUGUAUUUACCAUUUUCUUCAUUGAAUCCGGCAAUUGUGUUAACCGCCUUAACUACAUCAUUGUAAAAGUCAGGGUCUAAAUAGUCUUCAAGUGUUUGAAGCUUUUUAAUUUUACCUGACUUGUCUAUUGCUGUUGGCUUAUUUGUUAGAAGUUCUAUCUUCAGUCUUGCUAAUUCUCGCAUCUUUUGGGAUAUUAUUGGUUUUACAUGUUGUUCUUUAUGUUGUUUGAGCAACCUCAACCCAAAUUCACAUAUAAGUUCAUCUUCCUGUGCAGUUUUGCUUAUUUUGUCAUUUCUCAUAAUAGGAAAAAUUUUUGUUUUCAAGCUGUCUGAACAUGAAAAGUUAGCAACUACCAAUAAGGCUUGACCUGCACUCUGCGCAUUCCUAGAGCUUUCUUUUCCACUGUUUUCUUUGCAGUCUUUCAUGUGUCGGUACAGUCGAUUUUUGGAAAAAAAUCCCAGACAUAAUUUGCAUGGGAGAUAUUUUUCAAUAUUACAAUCAUUAGUUGGUCUUUGUACGGUAAUAAUAUUACCAGAUUUUUCUCUCAGAACGUUUGUGUUAUAAUUGAAAUUUCCUUUCUUUCGGAGCUUUUCGAUCAUAGAUCUCCUCAUUGCAGAACCUUUGGGUUGAGCUAAAAUUUCGGCAACUUUCAUUUCUUCAGAAUGGUUCCUUGUUAGAUGUCUUAUGAAGUUUGUGACUAGUAAAUCACAAAAAAUACAAGAAUCUCUUUUGUCCCAAAUCCUCUUUCCAUCUUGUCUUUUUUUGGCAACCAUUACAUUAAUGUUCUCUCCAUCAGAUAGGCCUGCACCAGAAGCACUGGUAGAUUGGCCUGCGCCAGAAGCAAUGGUAGACUGCCCACCGCCAGCAGAUUCCUCUACACCACCUGAAAUUGUGGAUUGGCAUGCGCCCAAAGCAAUAGUAGACUGUCCACUACCAGUACAUUCCUCAGCACCAGCUGAAAUGGUACAUUGGCCUGCACCAGAAGCAAUUGUAGACUGCCCAUCACCAGUAGAUUCUUCAGCACCAGAUGAGAUGGUAGAUUGGCCUGCACCAGAAGCAAUUGUAGACUGCCCAUCACCAGUAGAUUCUUCAGCACCAGCUGAGAUGGUAGAUUGGCCUGCACCAGAAGCAAUUGUAGACUGCCCACCAGCUGAGCCUUCUUCUUCAAACUCAUCAGGAUCCCAAUCAGUAAGCUAGAAAGAGGAACAAAAGAUUAACCACUACUUCAUGUGUAAUAAGUAGUUGAGAUGAUAUUGUGGUAGAUAUCUCUAGUGAAUAAAGACUAGAAAUUA